rnacentral:rRNA from 1 species
UCAUCAUAUUAAUAUGGUACGUGAGUUGGGUUAA